UACGUAGGGGGCAAGCGUUAUCCGGAUUUACUGGGUGUAAAGGGAGCGUAGACGGCUGUGCAAGUCUGAAGUGAAAGGCAAGGGCUCAACCUUUGGACUGCUUUGGAAACUGUGCAGCUAGAGUGUCGGAGAGGCAAGUGGAAUUCCUAGUGUAGCGGUGAAAUGCGUAGAUAUACGGAGGAACACCAGUGGCGAAGGCGGCCUGCUGGACAUUAACUGACGCUGAGGCGCGAAAGCGUGGGGAGCAAACAGG
rnacentral:rRNA from 1 species